GGUAGGUAUGGAAUUCUGUAUGAGAAAUUCUUAAGCAAUUUCUGCUGAAGAAACAUACUUCGGUCAAAAUAACAGAUUUUUAGAAGUUCAGGAAUGGACAGUGCAAUGUACCUGUAGCAAUCUGACAUUUGCAGCAAAUUUUAAAUAGAGAAUGGGGCUGACUGAACUCUGAGCAAUAUGAGCAUGGAAAUCAGCCAGAGUGGGAUUUUCAAAGUCUCGGGCAACAUAAAAAUCAACCCUUCUGCCCAUGAUUUCUUGCCUGACCACUGAGGGAUGGGCUGGCAACUACACACCUAUGCACAUCCCUCUCCCAGGCCAUUGGCUCAGGUGCAGCUGAAAUCACUGUUAUAGAGAUCCCCAGAAGACAUGGAGAGCCUUACCUGGACUGCAUACACCGGCAUUACAGUGUAGAAUGGAAGACAGCAUUUUACAGAUUAUCAAUAAGGGUCCCUGGAGGAAAGUCUGCAGGAGAGGACCCGUCACUGCUGGGCCAUGGUUUGCAGAGUACUCCCUGUCAGUCAGCACUGUGCCCACCAUGAAGCAGGAUGUGCCAGGCAUGAGGGAGGAGGAUGAGUGAGAGCAAAGUACCCACAUCUGCUGGGGAGGGGUGAAAAAGCACAAGAUUUCAUUCAUGCUGUGCCCACCUAAACAAGAUUUCUGACUUUCUACAGUUGGAGUUGUGGUUCUUUAGCACACAGCUGGGGAGCUACCAGAAGUGAUUUGAAUCAAUUAGUCUGCCCUUCUGUAUGAAAUAUUUGAAUUUCAUGCACUGGUUUCUGAACGAAUCCCAGUCUAUGCUUUAUUUGAACUCAGUCAUUGUUCUCUAGACUAUUUCUGGAAUCCCUUGGGUGGUUUCCAGAGGGUGUGCUGACUGUUAAGUAGGAAAUUAGGGUUAAGAAAUAGCAUUUUUCUUAUUUUAAAAUGAAUCACAAAGAUGAGAUUUGAUAUGAAAGGAAAGACUCUUUGAUUUUUAGAUUUUCCUUACAAUUUUUUUUUUCAAUUCAAUUACUUACUGGUUUGUUAAAGAGGUAAAAUCUUUUUUGGGGUCCAUUUUUAAGAUGUUGCAUGAAGGCAUAUACAGACGCUCACAGACAUGUUGUGUGACUCCUGGCAUUCAGAGGGUAAGAUCACUAGGGUUGGCCCAUUUCCAUUCCCAGCAAAACUACUGUGUACAGAAGGCGAAGGUAGUUGACUUUCAUUACUCUGUCUGCAUUAUAUGUGUGGUCCCUCAGCUUGAAUCUGCUCUAAAUUUUAUCAGCUGUGCAAGCCCUUGCACACCAAGUAACUUUUCGUUUUCCUUUUUAUCCACUAUGUGCAAUAGUUCAAGCGUGAAGUAUAGAGUUCAAGCAUGGUUCUGUGUCACUUGGGUAUUCACUCUACAAGGCAGAGAAAAUCCAAUCAUCCAAUUUAGCCAUUAAGGAUGCUUUGCAGAAGUGUGACAAGAGAGCAUGACCAUUUUAUCUUUUCGGUGAGCAAGCGUGGAUAAUUUCUGGUUGUAUCAUCCAGUACUCUUGGUAUUUUGAAGUCUAAAACAUAUUUUAAUUUUGUUUAUUGCAUUUCUUCAUUAGACGGAAGAUACUCUGCUUUAACAACUGUUCUUCAGAAUGCUUUUAAGACAUUUGUUACCUUGCAAAGAUAGAUAAAAGUCUGUAGGAGCAAAAAGGACAUGUAUAGACUAAGUUCUUGCACUCAACCCCUAGCAAAGCAAGAAGUGAAAAUAGAACAGAACGGCUUUUCCUUAACCAAAUGGAUCAAUAUUUCUGUGAUUAUCCCCUUUCCUUUCUUGCAGUUCAGCCUCAACUCACUUUUGUUCUAGUCUGUCAACUGACUCCCAUUAUUAGUGUCUUAUAGGAGGAAGAUCUGAAGUGCUUUCAUGCAUAUUGACUAUAAAGUGUACAGGUGCUGAUCUGCAAAGCAAACGAUAGCUGUUUGCUUAUGGUGCUCUGAAGUAGCAUCCCCUAGGUUUAUGCUGGCAGUGCUGACAAACUAUUUUGAGCUGAAACUUCUCCUUGCUGUGUCCAUAGAACCAAUUAACAAGUAAUGCUCAGGGAUGAAAACAGGAUUUUCAUCCUCUUGUGGGUCAGUAAUUGUCCAAAAGAGAUAAAUGUGUUUUAAUUUUGUGCCUGAAGCCUGUGACAAUUAUAUUAUAGUAUUAGAGGCCAUUACUCCCUUACCUUGGAUUAACAAAUAAAAAUCACCUUAGAAUG
ensembl:lncRNA